rnacentral:sRNA from 1 species
AUGAUGAUUUGCAGAAACUCAUUUUGUUGCCAAUUCUCCUCCUUAUCAUUAGGAACGAGUCAGGUGAUUUGUUGGGUCACUAUAAAUUCUUUCUUUUUCUUUUUCUUCUUCGUUGUGUUGCCUUUUAAUACUUACUGUACAGUCUCAUCAGGUUAAGAAAACUGAGCUGGAGGUGUUGUUGUUGGGGUUCAAGCUCUCAAAUUGCACCCUUUUCACUACUACAAGCUCCACUAUCCUCACUGCAAAGGCAAGCACCAGUUUUUUUUUUUUUUUUUAAUAUUUAAAAAAUGAAUAUUUCAAUUAGAGUUAGUUUGUUAAUUUAUUGAUCUUUUAUACAUGUAGGCAACAAUGAAUCCCCAAGUCAAAUGCUCCGUUAAUCAAAGUGGACAACUGAUAACUAAUUCUAAAGCUGUUGAGAGGUACACCCCAUUUCUAUUCCUUCAUGUUUAUCAACAGUUUCUGUUUUUAAGCGAGUUUUACUUCCAUUAUCUUGAUUCAUUGUGUAAAAAUGUUUGGUUGUGCUGUGCUUGUGCUUGUGCUUGACUUUAACUCUGAAUGAAAUGUUGGCAUGGUUAUUUUCUUUGGCUGAUGAGUUUUGGUUCUAAUAGACUUCCUUCUCCCAUAAGAAAGUGUGGAGGGUGAUUUUGUGGGUUCAAAACUCACCGGAUGCCUGUGUAACUUACAAAUAAAGAAAAAUGUUAGCAUUGUUGUUUGGAAAAUAGUUGUCGCGUGUAUGAUUAAUUUUUAGAUUUUCACAGUUGCUUCACCUAGAUUUCUUCACUUGAAUACAGGAAAAUGAUAAAGAAGGUCGGUAAGAGAGAACACCACUUGUGGAAGAGAAGAGACUCAGCUGGUUCUGGGCAAAAGGCACUUAAUCUUGUCAGAAUUGUAUGUUGAUUGAUCAUUUCUUAUAUUUCGAUUCUGUUUUUUUUCCUUUUGUCAUGUUUUAUGUCAUAAUUAAGAGCACUUGCUAUUAGGUGUUGAUGGAAAAUUACUAGUUUUAGAAAUUGAACUAGAUAGGUAAGUGUUAAAUUUUUUCUGUAACUUCUUUAAUUGGUUGGAUGUACAUUUUGAAAUACAGGCUUCUGGGCUUCCUAAUGAGAAGGAAGCUGUUUAUGGAGCAUUAGAUAAAUGGACUGCUUGGGAGACAGAAUUCCCAUUGAUUGCAGCAGCUAAGGCUUUAAGAAUCUUAAGGAAGAGGAGUCAAUGGAAGCGAGUAAUUCAAGUAUGAAACACCUAUUCCUUUACCGCCUGCUGUAGUUAAUCUAUAAUGGCAUGCUACAACCUUUAUGAACUCGGUUACUAUAUCAGUAUAUUGCAAUUGCAGAUUAUGAUGUUCCAUUAGAGGGAUUCUCCAGUCACUGUAAUUCAUUUUGCAAUAUCUAUAUAGUUACAUUAAGUAAGGUGUACGUUUCAGACUGGUUGGAGCUGAGACCUCAACCAGCCUGACUCCCUUGAGUCAUUAUUGUUUGCUUGUAAACAUAAUAACAGAUAUAAUUGAUGGCAUGAUCUAAGUUUGCUCGCUGUAGUAGCAAGUGCAGGAUGGCCUGAUCUCUAGGUUAGGCAAAGCUAUUAAAAGGUUUGUUCCAUUGGCUAUGAUAACUAAAGGUGCCCACUGCCCAAAUUAUUUGCUUGGCCCUUUCUUUUAUAGUCUUUAUCUUGGGAUAAAGAAUUUAGAUAAAUUUUGUAGACUUUAAUGGCCUUAAUGGGAUUAUACCUAAAUCGAGUGUCUAUUAUUUCUUUAGGUAUUGAAUUUAAUUCACUAACUGAGACCUGAUGAAUUAAUGUCUUCUCAAUCUGAGUUGGUUUGUGUUGCUUUAGCAAUAGCUACGUAGUUCACUAGAUAUUGACUUAGGCUAGGUUGGUUCUAGGUUGAUGAUGAACAGAACUGAGUUGUAUCACUGAUGAUUUUGCCAUUCAAAUAUUGUAACAGCACUAUCAAGCUGCGAAUCUCAAACAUGGUGGAAGACAAGAGGACAGUAAUAAAGAAAGGAAAAGGAAAUACUGACAGUUAUGCCAUGAGUCUUGUGGCUCUGUGGCAUUACCCAGUUCUUCCUAUUGGAGGAACCAAAGUUCGAAUCCCCCUUCACCUAUAGAUGUAGUAAUUUAUACGCCUGCAUCAGAAGAUAAAUCAAAUGAUUGUAUGCUCUUAAGGCUACUUUCUUGAUAAUCAUUAUAUUAAAUGAAUAUAUAUAUCAAUUAUGUGAUUUUUUACAAAUCCUAUAAUAAUUACUAAUCUUCUGUAAGGUGGCCAAGUGGAUGUUGAGCAAAGGUCAAGGGGCAACAAUGGGAACGUAUGACACCCUUCUACUGGCAUUUGAUAUGGAUCAGAGAGUAGAUGAGGCUGAAUCUUUGUGGAACAUGAUUUUGCAUGUACAUACACGCUCUAUCUCAAAGCGGUUGUUUUCUAGGAUGAUUUCUUUGUAUGAUCAUCAUAACAUACAGGAUAAGAUAAUAGAGGUAAAAGGAAUACCAUGACAGUUGCAAUAUCACACCUUGCACAGAUCCUUCAUGAUGCUAAACUUUAGUUCUUUUUUAAAAAUUCAGGUUUUUGCAGAUAUGGAGGAGUUGGGUGUAAAACCAGAUCAAGAUACUGUCAGGAGAGUCGCACGUGCCUUUCAGAAAUUGGGACAAGAAGAGAAGCAGAUGUUGGUUCUUAAAAGGUACCAGUCUAAAUGGAAGUAUGUCCACUUCAAAGGUGAACGGGUGAGAGUGAGAACAGAUGUGAACAACGAAGAUAAUACCUGAACCAAUUGAAGUUGGAGCUUUGGGCAUCGAAACAUGCCAGGUCUGUCUUCCCUCUUGGACCUUGCUAAUUUGAGAAGACUAGUAUUGAAAUUUUAUGGUUUUUGCAGCUAGAGAUCAUUAUUUCAAGGUAUUUUUUUGGUUGAGACUGAAGCAAGCAUGCCCGCCACUGAUCAUUAAUCAAUCAAUACUUGUUCCUUUGGAACUUAUGGUUCUACUACAUAUUUUAUUUACCAACACAAUCUGGACGGACCUGUUGAUAGAGAUAUGUACAGAGGAUUCUUAUUCAUCAUUCAGGUCAUGUUUUCUAACCCCCAAUCAAUUCUAAAUGGUUUUGUUGUAAUAUAAAUGUACAGAUAAGGGGCAAGUUUCCCCUUGACUACAAGCUAAAAGAGAGUUUUGUUUAAGAUAGAGGAUUUCUAUUCAUCAUUUAGAUCAUGUUUUCUAACCUCUGAUCAUUUUUGAAGUACAUAAGGCUCUGCUGUAUUAUUCUGAGGGAAUCAAAUGCUUUUCAAUGGAUGCAUUGAAAAUAAUAAAAUUGUGAUGCUGAAUAUGUAGAACUAGUUCCAUGGUGCGCUAACCACAAACGUGUUAAUGUGAAAGUGGAGAGGGGAAAAUAGCUUUAGAGCUUUAGAUCAUUUCUACAAAUAAUGUAGCACAGUUUCUUUUGUAGAAUCUUCUCCAUUUCGGAGGGAUGAAAUUCAUUUGUGGCAUAUGAGUUCUCUUAGGGCGACAGAGCCACAUUCUUGGCCCAAAACAAUGUUAUGGUUUCUGUAAGUGUCAUACUUAGAACUUUGCUUUUUCAGUUUUUACCUUUGCAGGAAGUGGACUUAUCAUGACAUAUUGGAAAAUUAUUUAUACCAUCUUGGAACUAAUAUUUUCUCUUCUCAUUUGUAUGGCAGUUCCAGUAAUGAAUUUUACCUGUAGAAUUCAUCAUUUUGUGUCAAGAGAGACUAUUGCUUUCGUAGUAUUGGAAUAAUCACUUCAUGCAAUUACAGAUUUCUCUCUCUCUCUCUCUCUCUCUCUCUCUCUCUCUCCUUAAGAUUUGACACCCAUAUUUCAUGACUCAAACAUCAACGUGCUAACGGAAAUAAAAUCAUCUACUCCUGCUAAAAUGUUGCCAGAAAAGAAUUUCCUGUUAUGCUGCUUCAUUUAUCCCUUUCAACAAUAAGAUUAUGAUGUUAAUUUGUGCUAUUAUCUGAAAAUUUAGCUCAGAAUAUCUUGUGCUUGAAAGAAUUCAAACUGAGCUCGAGAAUUUCCAGAGCAGGAUUCGAAUAUGAUUGAGAAUCCUUGUACAAAUAAGGGACAUCCAUCCUAAUGAGAAGGAAGCUGUUUAUGGAGCAUUAGAUAAAUGGACUGCUUGGGAGACAGAAUUCCCAUUGAUCGCAGCAGCUAAGGCUUUAAGAAUCUUAAGGAAGAGGAAUCAAUGGAAGCGAGUAAUUCAAGUAUGAAACACCUAUUCCUUUACUGUCUGCUGUAGUUAAUCUAUAAUGGCAUGCUACAACCUCUAUGAACUCGGUUACUAUAUAAGUAUAUUGCAAUUGCAGAUUAUGAUGUUCCAUUUGAGGGAUGCUCCAGUCACUGUAAUUCAUUUUGCAAUAUCUAUAUAGUUACAUCAGACUGGUUGGAGCCGAGACCUCAACCAGCCUGACUCCCUUGAGUCAUUAUUGUUUGCUUGUAAACAUAAUAACAGAUAUAAUUGAUGGCAUGAUCUAAGUUUGCUCACUGUAGUAGCAAGUGCAGGAUGGCCUGAUCUCUAGGUUAGGCAAAGCCAUUAAAAGGUUUGUUCCAUUGGCUAUGAUAACUAAAGGUGCCCACUGCCCAAAUUAUUUGCUUGGCCCUUUCUUUUAUAGUCUUUAUCUUGGGAUAAAGAAUUUAGAUAAAUUUUGUAGACUUUAAUGGCCUUAAUGGGAUUAUACCUAAAUCGAGUGUCUAUUAUUUCUUUAGGUAUUGAAUUUAAUUCACUAACUGAGACCUGAUGAAUUAAUGUCUUCUUAAUCUGAGUUGGUUUGUGUUGCUUUAGCAAUAGCUACGUAGUUCACUAGAUAUUGACUUAGGCUAGGUUGGUUCUAGGUUGAUGAUGAACAGAACUGAGUUGUAUCACUGAUGAUUUUGCCAUUCAAAUAUUGUAACAGCACUAUCAAGCUGCGAAUCUCAAACAUGGUGGAAGACAAGAGGACAGUAAUAAAGAAAGGAAAAGGAAACACUGACAGUUAUGCCAUGAGUCUUGUGGCUCUGUGGCAUUACCCAGUUCUUCCUAUUGGAGGAACCAAAGUUUGAAUCCCCCUUCACCUAUAAAUGUAGUAAUUUAUACGCCUGCAUCAGAAGAUAAAUCAAAUGAUUGUAUUCUCUUAAGGCUACUUUCUUGAUAAUCAUUAUAUUAAAUGAAUAUAUAUAUCAAUUAUGUGAUUUUUUACAAAUCCUAUAAUAAUUACUAAUCUUCUGUAAGGUGGCCAAGUGGAUGUUGAGCAAAGGUCAAGGGGCAACAAUGGGAACGUAUGACACCCUUCUACUGGCAUUUGAUAUGGAUCAGAGAGUAGAUGAGGCUGAAUCUUUGUGGAACAUGAUUUUGCAUGUACAUACACGCUCUAUCUCGAAGCGGUUGUUUUCUAGGAUGAUUUCUUUGUAUGAUCAUCAUAACAUACAGGAUAAGAUAAUAGAGGUAAAAGGAAUACCAUGACAGUUGCAAUAUCACACCUUGCACAGAUUCUUCAUGAUGCUAAACUUUAAUUCUUUUUUAAAAAUUCAGGUUUUUGCAGAUAUGGAGGAGUUGGGUGUAAAACCAGAUCAAGAUACUGUCAGGAGAGUCGCAGGUGCCUUUCAGAAACUGGGACAAGAAGAGAAGCAGAUGUUGGUUCUUAAAAGGUACCAGUCUAAAUGGAAGUUUGUCCACUUCAAAGGUGAACGGGUGAGAGUGAGAACAGAUGUGUACAACGAAGAUAAUGCCUGAACCAAUUGAAGUUGGAGCUUUGGGCAUCGAAACAUGCCAGGUCUGUCUUCCCUCUUGGACCUUGCUAAUUAGAGAAGACUAGUAUUGAAAUUUUAUGGUUUUUGCAGCUAGAGAUCAUUAUUUCAAGGUAUUUUUUUGGUUGAGACUGAAGCAAGCAUGCCCGCCACUGAUCAUUAAUCAAUCAAUACUUGUUCCUUUGGAACUUAUGGUUCUACUACAUAUUUUAUUUACCAACACAAUCUGGAUGGACCUGUUGAUAGAGAUAUGUACAGAGGAUUCUUAUUCAUCAUUCAGGUCAUGUUUUCUAACCCCCAAUCAAUUCUAAAUGGUUUUGUUGUAAUAUAAAUGUACAGAUAAGGGGCAAGUUUCCCCUUGACUACAAGCUAAAAGAGAGUUUUGUUUAA